rnacentral:rRNA from 1 species
AGGACGUCACAGAGGGUGAGAAUCCCGUGUCAGGACGGUCGCCCACCACCAUGUGAAUUGUCUCCAACGAGUCGAGUUGUUUGGGAAUGCAGCUCAAAAUGGGUGGUAAAUUUCAUCUAAAGCUAAAUAUUGGCGAGAGACCGAUAGCGCACAAGUAGAGUGAUCGAAAGAUGAAAAGCACUUUGAAAAGAGAGUUAAAAAGUACGUGAAAUUGUUGAAAGGGAAGCGCUUGCGACCAGACUCGAUCUUUGGCGAUCAGCCGGACCCUUCCAGGUUCGGUGCACUUGCCACUGAUCGGGCCAGCAUCGGUUCCGAGGGCGGGAUAAAAGGUCGGGGAAUGUGGCUUCCUCCGGGGAGUGUUAUAGACCCGAUCACAAUGCCGCCAUUCGGGACCGAGGACCGCGCUUCGGCUAGGAUGCUGGCGUAAUGGUCUUAAGCGACCCGUCUUGAAACACGGACCAAGGAGUCUAACAUCUAUGCGAGUGUUCGGGUGGAAAACCCUUGCGCGUAAUGAAAGUGAACGGAGGUGUGAACCCGCAAGGGUGCAACAUCGACCGGUCCUGAUGUCUUCGGAAGGAUCUGAGUAAGAGCAUAGCUGUUGGGACCCGAAAGAUGGUGAACUAUGCCUGAAUAGGGUGAAGCCAGAGGAAACUCUGGUGGAGGCUCGCAGCGGUUCUGACGUGCAAAUCGAUCGUCAAAUUUGGGUAUAGGGGCGAAAGA